UAGAGUUUGAUCCUGGCUCAGGACGAACGCUGGCGGCGUGCUUAACACAUGCAAGUCGAGCGGUAAGGCUCCUUCGGGAGUACACGAGCGGCGAACGGGUGAGUAACACGUGAGCAAUCUGCCCUUCACACGGGGAUAACUCCGGGAAACCGGUGCUAAUACCCGAUACGACCACUUCAGGCAUCUGAUGGUGGUGGAAAGUUCCGGCGGUGAAGGAUGAGCUCGCGGCCUAUCAGCUUGUUGGUGGGGUAAAGGCCUACCAAGGCAACGACGGGUAGCCGGCCUGAGAGGGUGACCGGCCACACUGGGACUGAGACACGGCCCAGACUCCUACGGGAGGCAGCAGUGGGGAAUAUUGGACAAUGGGCGAAAGCCUGAUCCAGCAACGCCGCGUGAGGGAUGACGGCCUUCGGGUUGUAAACCUCUUUCAGUAGGGACGAAGCGCAAGUGACGGUACCUACAGAAGAAGCACCGGCCAACUACGUGCCAGCAGCCGCGGUAAUACGUAGGGUGCGAGCGUUGUCCGGAAUUAUUGGGCGUAAAGGGCUCGUAGGCGGUCUGUCGCGUCGAAAGUGAAAACUCAGGGCUUAACCCUGAGCCUGCUUCCGAUACGGGCAGACUAGAGGUAUGCAGGGGAGAACGGAAUUCCUGGUGUAGCGGUGAAAUGCGCAGAUAUCAGGAGGAACACCGGUGGCGAAGGCGGUUCUCUGGGCAUUACCUGACGCUGAGGAGCGAAAGUGUGGGGAGCGAACAGGAUUAGAUACCCUGGUAGUCCACACCGUAACGUUGGGCGCUAGGUGUGGGACUCAUUCCACGAGUUCCGUGCCGCAGCUAACGCAUUAAGCGCCCCGCCUGGGGAGUACG
rnacentral:rRNA from 1 species